rnacentral:miRNA from 1 species
GCAGACACAUUCCAGCCAAUCAGCAGCAGACCCUCCCUUCCAGACCCUCCACCUCCUGGACAGCUCACUAAGAAUGCAGCUUCACAAUGAAUAUAAAAUGGAUGCUGUCCAGGAGGUGGGAGGGUCUGGGAGGGAGGGUCUGCUGCUGAUUGGUUGGAAUGUGUCUG